rnacentral:rRNA from 1 species
AUUGAACGCUGGCGGCAGGCCUAACACAUGCAAGUCGAACGGUAACAGGAAGAAGCUUGCUUCUUUGCUGACGAGUGGCGGACGGGUGAGUAAUGUCUGGGAAACUGCCUGAUGGAGGGGGAUAACUACUGGAAACGGUAGCUAAUACCGCAUAACGUCGCAAGACCAAAGAGGGGGACCUUCGGGCCUCUUGCCAUCGGAUGUGCCCAGAUGGGAUUAGCUAGUAGGUGGGGUAACGGCUCACCUAGGCGACGAUCCCUAGCUGGUCUGAGAGGAUGACCAGCCACACUGGAACUGAGACACGGUCCAGACUCCUACGGGAGGCAGCAGUGGGGAAUAUUGCACAAUGGGCGCAAGCCUGAUGCAGCCAUGCCGCGUGUAUGAAGAAGGCCUUCGGGUUGUAAAGUACUUUCAGCGGGGAGGAAGGGAGUAAAGUUAAUACCUUUGCUCAUUGACGUUACCCGCAGAAGAAGCACCGGUUAACUCCGUG